GCCUUCGUGGUGUAAUGGUCAUCAUGUUGGGUUCGUUUGUCAAAGGUCCGUGGUUCGAGUCCCGGCGAAGGUG
rnacentral:tRNA from 1 species